UGGGGAAUAUUGCACAAUGGGGGAAACCCUGAUGCAGCGACGCCGCGUGAGCGAUGAAGGCUUUCGAGUCGUAAAGCUCUGUCCUAUGGGAAGAUAAUGACGGUACCUACAGAAGAAGCAACGGCUAAAUACGUGCCAGCAGCCGCGGUAAUACGUAUGUUGCGAGCGUUAUCCGGAAUUAUUGGGCUUAAAGGGCAUCUAGGCGGUAAGACAAGUUGAAGGUGAAAACCUGUGGCUCAACAAUAGGCUUGCCUACAAAACUGUUGAACUAGAGUACUGGGAAAGUGGGUGGAACUACACGAAGAGAGGUGAAAUUAGUAGAUAUGUGUAGGAAUGACGAAGAUGAAGAUAACUCACUGGACAGAAUCAGACGCUGAAGUGCGAAAGCUGGGGGAGCAAACAGG
rnacentral:rRNA from 1 species